GCCUGCAGUCAUACCACCUUGAGUUGUGAUCCUGGCAGAUAUCAUAAACUCUACAAGGUUGGACAGGUUGAAUUUUAACAGGGAAGACCUUUCUGGAACACCCAGGGAUUACAGAAA
rnacentral:rRNA from 1 species